GACGAACGCCGGCGGCGUGCCUAAUACAUGCAAGUAGAACGCUGAAGGAGGAGCUUGCUUCUCUGGAUGAGUUGCGAACGGGUGAGUAACGCGUAGGUAACCUGCCUGGUAGCGGGGGAUAACUAUUGGAAACGAUAGCUAAUACCGCAUAAUAUUGACUAUUGCAUGAUAGUCAGUUGAAAGGUGCAACUGCACCACUACCAGAUGGACCUGCGUUGUAUUAGCUAGUUGGUGGGGUAACGGCUCACCAAGGCGACGAUACAUAGCCGACCUGAGAGGGUGAUCGGCCACACUGGGACUGAGACACGGCCCAGACUCCUACGGGAGGCAGCAGUAGGGAAUCUUCGGCAAUGGACGGAAGUCUGACCGAGCAACGCCGCGUGAGUGAAGAAGGUUUUCGGAUCGUAAAGCUCUGUUGUAAGAGAAGAACGAGUGUGAGAGUGGAAAGCUCACACUGUGACGGUAUCUUACCAGAAAGGGACGGCUAACUACGUG
rnacentral:rRNA from 1 species